UACGAAGGGGGCUAGCGUUGCUCGGAAUUACUGGGCGUAAAGCGCACGUAGGCGGGUCGUUAAGUCGGGGGUGAAAUCCUGGAGCUCAACUCCAGAACUGCCUUCGAAACUGACGAUCUUGAGUUCGGGAGAGGUGAGUGGAACUGCGAGUGUAGAGGUGAAAUUCGUAGAUAUUCGCAAGAACACCAGAGGCGAAGGCGA
rnacentral:rRNA from 1 species